GCAGUGUACCCGCGGCAAGACGGAAAGACCCCGUGAACCUUUACUAUAGCUUGACACUGAACACUGGUCCUUGAUGUGUAGGAUAGGUGGGAGGCUUUGAAGCGUGGACGCCAGUCUGCGUGGAGCCAUCCUUGAAAUACCACCCUUUAAUGGCUGGUGUUCUAACGUAGACCCGUGAUCCGGGUUGCGGACAGUGUCUGGUGGGUAGUUUGACUGGGGCGGUCUCCUCCCAAAGAGUAACGGAGGAGCACGAAG
rnacentral:rRNA from 3 species